rnacentral:ribozyme from 1 species
AACAAAAAUAAAGAAGCAGGUAUAUGUAGGUGAUUUGCAGACACAUUAUUGAAUCCUUGCUGUUUCUUCGUUUUCAUUUCUUCGUUUUC